UCUGCUUGGCACUAAGUUGUCAGUCGUAACAAAAAUGUGCAGUCGCUUUUUUGUCUUGUUGGCAAUUUUGGCAGUUGCCAUGGCGGCUCCGGGACCUUUUGUUUGGAUACCGAUCCCUGAGAACAGUGGAUGGGCCCUUGCGAAUGCCUGGUACGCUGCUCCGAUUUUGAGAGAAGCGCCUGUUACUUUCGUAUCUGUGACCAGCGCUUUCCGAAGGGCAACCGACACUAAAUCUUCAAUCCAUCGAUUUUAUCGCGUUCACUUCUGGUCUUCUACAGCAACCCAAUCGAGACUCUGCCAAGCAAUCAUUCAUUGGAUUGGCAAUCAACCUCACGUCGACUUCAGGCCAUUCUGGUCUCACUGCUAAACUUGCUACUUUACAAAGACAUGUUAUUUAAGUUGUCCGCUUGUGCUUUAAGGGCAGUAAUGCAUUGAAUGGAGUUUACAGUUUUAUUCUAAUUUAAAACAGAUACAAUAAACAAAAGUUUGCACUUUCGGUAAGUUUGUCAACAGAAUAUCUACUUGAAAUGUACCACAUGUAUUUAACACACUAACAUGCACCCAUUUAUUAAUAUAAUGAAUUUAUUAUUUCUUUAUGCAUGUAAUUUUGUGAAUUCCUAUAGGAAAUUAAUGUGGCAUUGUUGUUUAUUCAAAGUACUCUUAAUAUAUUUCACUUUCACAUAUAUUAAUAACAUAAUCUAUGCUUUUCCAUUAUCAUUAUUAUUUUUAUAAAUCACCUUGGUGCAUUGCUAUACAAGAGGCUGUAUAAUUGCUACGUAUCAUAACUCUAAAUUGUUGUUUAUGGUUACUUUCCACUAAAUAAAUGUUUAUCCCUUUUUG